AUCAUGUUGAAAAUAACAAAAAGUGAAGUUGUUACCAAACCAAUAGAAGCUAUUUCAAGUAGUGUUAUAGUGUAAAGAGGUUGGGUUAGUGCACACUGGCAAAACAGGAAGUGUUGCUAUUUCAAGUUGUGUUAUAGUGUAAAGAGGUUGGGUUAGUGCACACUGGCAAAACAGGAAGUGUUGCUAUUUCAAGUUGUGUUAUAGUGUAAAGAGGUUGGGUUAGUGCACACUGGCAAAACAGGAAGUGUUGCUAUUUCAAGUUGUGUUAUAGUGUAAAGAGGUUGGGUUAGUGCACACUGGCAAAACAGGAAGUGUUGCUAUUUCAAGUUGUGUUAUAGUGUAAAGAGGUUGGGUUAGUGCACACUGGCAAAACAGGAAGUGUUGCUAUUUCAAGUUGUGUUAUAGUGUAAAGAGGUUGGGUUAGUGCACACUGGCAAAACAGGAAGUGUUGCUAUUUCAAGUUGUGUUAUAGUGUAAAGAGGUUGGGUUAGUGCACACUGGCAAAACAGGAAGUGUUGCUAUUUCAAGUUGUGUUAUAGUGUAAAGAGGUUGGGUUAGUGCACACUGGCAAAACAGGAAGUGUUGCUAUUUCAAGUUGUGUUAUAGUGUAAAGAGGUUGGGUUAGUGCACACUGGCAAAACAGGAAGUGUUGCUAUUUCAAGUUGUGUUAUAGUGUAAAGAGGUUGGGUUAGUGCACACUGGCAAAACAGGAAGUGUUGCUAUUUCAAGUUGUGUUAUAGUGUAAAGAGGUUGGGUUAGUGCACACUGGCAAAACAGGAAGUGUUGCUA